CAGCCGCCGCGGUAAUACCAGCAGCCCAAGUGGUGGUCGCGAUUAUUGGGCCUAAAGCGCUCGUAGCCGGGCCGGUAAGUCCCUUGUGGAAUCGGACGGCCUAACCGUUCGGCGUGCAAGGGAUACUGUCGGUCUUGAGGCCGGGAGACGUCCGAGGUACUCCGGGGGUAGCGGUGAAAUGUUCUGAUCCUCGGGGGACCACCGGUGGCGAAGGCGUUCGACGAGAACGGGCCUGACGGUGAGGGGCGAAGGCUAGGGGAGCAAACGGGAUUAGAUACCCCAGUAGUCCCUGUCUCUUAUA
rnacentral:rRNA from 1 species